ensembl:lncRNA
GGGGGCCUCUGGAUGUCUGGAGUUUUGAUCUCCUCCAUACCUGCUUCACACCCUGGAGGACGGGGCUGUGGCCCCCUCACACUCCCUAGCAGAUCGUUACAUGGAGAAACCUUUGGAAUACAAGCGCGCUGAUCCACACAGGUAUGCACACAGGUGUUCACUGCUUGUAGACCCAAAUUACACCUUUCUUGGCUGCUACUUCGAAGCACAUCUGUCCUGCGUGCUGCACAACAACAUUGAAUAUUUAGUAUUUACUGCUGUUUACACUUAGCUAGAUUAAUGCGAUGGUGUUGUGUUUAGUAUGUUGCUUUGUUUUGUUUUUUUUUGUCUUUUUUUGCUUGUUUUCUAUUCUUCUCUCAACAGGUGAUCCAGGAGAUUUUUAUUUUUUUUCUCCCCCCCCUUUCUCACUGUCCCUCUCCCCUUCUGUUUUUCCUUUCCUUCCUCUUUCUUUCUCCCUUUCCUAUCUCUCACUCAUGUCUGUCCCGUCUGUAACAUCUGAAAAUAAAAUAUAAUAAAUAAUAAAAACAAAGAUCGACCAAAUGGACCAAUACGGCAAUGCCACGAUGAUCCAUUUGGCAAAGUAAAUCCAUUGGGUAUCCUUGUUGGUCUUCAGACAACAAUUCUGAUGGCUAAAGAACCAAAUGGGACAGGCGAGAAAAAAAAAAAAGAAAAAAAAAAAGAAAAAAAAAAAGAAUAAUCAGUCCCUAUCUUAUCUCAAAGACCACGUACCUUACCGUGACAAUAAGCACAUCGCUUUCAGAUCGCUGGUUUACUUGUGGUUCCUUGGGUAUUUAAAAGUAGAAUGGGAGGCAGAGCCUUCAGCUUUCAGGCCCCUUUUCUGUGGAGCCAGCUCCCAGUUUGGAUUCAGGAGCAGGCACUAUCUCUGUUAUUAAGAUUAGGCUUAAAACUUUCCUUUUUGAUAAAGCUUGUAGUUAGGGCUGAAUCACUUGAUAGUGAAUCCUCCAUAAGUUAUGGUGCAAUAGGCCCAUAAUUAAUGGGCCUAAUGCAAUACCUUCCCACUGUUGCCAAAGCA